UACAGAGGUCUCGAGCGUUAGGCGGAAUCACUGGGCUUAAAGCGUGUGUAGGCGGAUCGUUAAGUGCCUUGUGAAAUCCCACGGCUUAACCGUGGAACUGCUUGGCAUACUGGCGGUCUUGAGCAACCUAGGGGCGAGCGGAACAAAUGGUGGAGCGGUGAAAUGCGUAGAUAUCAUUUGGAACGCCAAUGGUGAAAACAGCUCGCUGGGGGUUUGCUGACGCUGAUGUGCGAAAGCUAGGGGAGCGAACGGG
rnacentral:rRNA from 1 species